rfam:Gossypium raimondii Chr06_contig_1001, whole genome shotgun sequence.
AAUAAGAGAAUAACAAAUCAGAUUUUUUCUCAUAAUUUUCAGCUUUUUCCUCCUAACAAAAUUUAAAUCUAACUAAAAAUACUAAAAUUCAGGAGUAAAAAUUUAACUUGUCAUUCUGUUAUU